GACGAGGAGAGGCCCGAGCUCCUGCUUAGUUGAACCUGGGACCAAGCACAACAGGGGCCUCAGGGACAAGAAUACACAGCUAAGAGAAAUCAUCCAGGAUUGGAGGAAAUCAGCCAGCAGAUGGAGUAAUUUGAUGAAUUCUGUAUCCUUACCUUCUGCAACAAGAGAGACCUUAAGAAAUAGAAGUUGAACCAACUGACAUUGAAGAUGUUGAAGAAGAAAUAUCAGGU